GGCCGGAUGGUCUAGGGGUAUGAUUCUCGCUUCGGGUGCGAGAGGUCCCGGGUUCGAAUCCCGGUUC
rnacentral:tRNA from 1 species